GGGUGAGAGGGAAGGGACAAUCUAGGUGGGGACGGUGAACGCGAACGCGAGGAGGCGCUGUGGAGACUGAGGAACGGCAUUUGGGCAAAGAGGCGAGGUUAGACUCGGGCGUCGCCCAGCCUUUCCCUAGAGCAGCGGGACAGAACGCGGCCCUGUUUUCCUGGAGGCGUCCUUUGGAGGCCAAAACCGGCUCCCCGGGAGCCCCGCUGCUCAGGAUGUAAACUGUCUUCUGUAUUUAGCGUCUCAUCGUGGCCCAGCACCCUCUUUCGGCAAAUGGAAGCCUUGAGAGGGAUUUUCUCAGGCUAAGUGGCAAGUUGCAACCGGCUGAGGACUCCUGGGGCAGGGAGAAGCUUGGUGGGAGUCUAGAAAGUUCUUACUAGCUAUCAGAAUAUCUGACUAUUCAGUAUGCUAAAUAUUGUGUCCUCUCUGUGUGCUAGGUCAGUGGUUCACAAAGUGUGUGUCUGGACCACCAGCAGCCACAUCACCUAGGAACUUGAUUAGAGAUGCACAUUCUCAGGCCCCAUCCCAGAAUUGCGGAACCAGAAAUUGUAUUCCCUGGGGGCAUGUAGUGCUGGAGACAAACUGAUCAUUCUGUCACAGAAUGUCGGAAGAAUACCUAGCCCACAGUCCAAGACAGGCUUCAUGUCCAGCAUAGAGCCCAACGCAAGGCUUGAACUCACAA